rnacentral:rRNA from 1 species
AUUAGCGGCGGACGGGUGAGUAACACGUGAGUAACCUGCCUUAGACAUUGGGAUAGCCUCGGGAAACCGGGAUUAAUGCCAAAUAAAAUCAUAAUGACACAUGUCAUAACGAUCAAAACUCCGGUGGUCUAAGAUGGACUCGCGUCUCAUUAGCUAGUUGGUAGAGUAAAAGCCUACCAAGGCGACGAUGGGUAGCCGGCCUGAGAGGGUGAACGGCCACAUUGGAACUGAGAGACGGUCCAA